rnacentral:rRNA from 1 species
UACGGGGGAUCCGAGCGUUAUCCGGAUUUAUUGGGUUUAAAGGGUGCGCAGGCGGGAGAUUAAGUCGGCGGUGAAAUUUUGCAGCUCAACUGUAAAAGUGCCUUCGAAACUGGUUUCCUUGAGUGUAGAUGAAGUAGGCGGAAUUUGUGGUGUAGCGGUGAAAUGCAUAGAUAUCACGAGGAACUCCGAUUGCGCAGGCAGCUUACUAAACUACUACUGACGCUCAGGCACGAAGGCGUGGGGAUCAAACAGGAUUAGAUACCCUGGUAGU